GAUGAACGCUGGCGGCGUGCCUAAUACAUGCAAGUCGAGCGAACAGACGAGGCGCUUGCUCCUCUGACGUUAGCGGCGGACGGGUGAGUAACACGUGGAUAACCUACCUAUAAGACUGGGAUCACUUCGGGAAACCGGAGCUAAUACCGGAUAACAUGUUGAACCGCAUGGUUUAACAGUGAAAGUCGGUCUUGCUGUCUCUUAUAGAUGGAUCCGCGCCGCAUUAGCUAGUUGGUAAGGUAACGGCUUACCAAGGCAACGAUGCGUAGCCGACCUGAUAGGGGGAUCGGCCACACUGGAACGGAGACACGGUCCAGACUCCUACGAGAGGCAGCAGUAGGGAAUCUUCCGCAAUGGGCGAGAGCCUGGCGGAGCAACGCGGCGUGAGAGAAAGAGGUCUUCGGAGCGUAAAACUCUGUUAUUAGGGAAGAACAAAUGUGUAAGUAACUAUGCACGGAGUGACGGUAACGAAUCAGAAAGCCACGGCUAACUACGUG
rnacentral:rRNA from 1 species